UGGGGAAUAUUGGGCAAUGGGGGAAACCCUGACCCAGCAACGCCGCGUGAAGGAAGAAGGCUUUCGGGUUGUAAACUUCUUUUACCAGGGACGAAGAAAGUGACGGUACCUGGAGAAAAAGCUCCGGCUAACUACGUGCCAGCAGCCGCGGUAAUACGUAGGGAGCGAGCGUUGUCCGGAUUUACUGGGUGUAAAGGGCGUGUAGGCGGAGCUGCAAGUCAGAAGUGAAAUCUCCGGGCUUAACCCGGAAACUGCUUUUGAAACUGUAGCCCUUGAGUAUCGGAGAGGCAGGCGGAAUUCCUAGUGUAGCGGUGAAAUGCGUAGAUAUUAGGAGGAACACCAGUGGCGAAGGCGGCCUGCUGGACGACAACUGACGCUGAGGCGCGAAAGCGUGGGGAGCAAACAGG
rnacentral:rRNA from 1 species